rnacentral:tRNA from 1 species
GGAGAGGUGGCCGAGUGGCUUAAGGCGCUCGUCUGGAAAGCGAGUUUCCCGCAAGGGAUCCCGGGUUCGAAUCCCGGUCUCUCCG